rnacentral:rRNA from 1 species
ANGAGAGCCAAACUGUCUCUUGUAGUUAAUCAAUUAAACUGAUCUUUCAGUACAAAAGCUGAAAUAAGUAUAUAAGACCAGAAGACCCUGUGAAGCUUAAACUAACCUAUUAAAUCAACUAAUAGCUACUUUCGGUUGGGGCGACCUUGGAACAAAAUAAAACUUCCAGAUAAAAUGAGCCAUACCUCAUAACACAGGCCCACAAGCCACUUAACGACCCAGUAUGACUGAUAAAUGAACCAAGUUACUCCAGGGAUAACAGCGCCAUCUUCUUCAAGAGCCCAUAUCAAAAAGAAGGUUUACGACCUCGAUGUUGGAUCAGGACACCCCGAUGGUGUAGCCGCUAUCAAAGGUUCGUUUGUUCAACGAUUAACAGU